UUCACAAGAAAAUCUUUCUAAUUCUAAUCUUUAACUAGAACACAGCAGACUUUAACUGCGUCCUACAGGACGAACUAUGAUCUGAGCGACGCGUCUGUUUACGUGAAUGUCUCGGGGCGAGAAACACGGCGAAAGGUGCUUCUAUGCCCGUGAACAAGAAAAUAUAACAGCAGGUAGCAGUCACUGAUGCUUACUGCCCUUGUUCUGUUAAUAAUCCAUGGGAGUAGCUCAUUUUGACCCAGUUGUAAAUAAAAGAAGUGCUGCAAUGAACAGUUCUGGUAAGUUAAUAAAUAAGGUAGCAUUUGCUUAUUUGUAUAAAAUCUCGCUAGUAUUAGUAGAGAACGAUCUCGUAUGUCGUUUGCAAGUAGCAAAAGAAAACGAUGUAGUAAUGUUACGCACACAUUUGGCAGUCAAGUAUGUCCGAUGGGUGUCCUGGGACUAUACUCGUCUAUGUGUACAAGUGAAAACAUGACUAAAAGUAAUUGAUUGUAGCAUAUGUUGUCAUUAUAUAGUAGACAUUAAUCACUGAGCAUGGCAGUAAACAUAGAUGUGUCAAAGCGGUAGGUUAGAGUAAAAGCAAUACCAAGAUUCUUUUCAGGAAUAUAUAGACUGCGACUAGGACUAGGUGACGCCGGUUUUUACCUCAAAGGUGCACUUAAAUACCGUUCUAUUGACUAAACAAGGGCUUAAUUUCUUUUUUGCGAGGUUAGUAAAAUAUUCGCAAAAGAAAAUGUACGAUGGAACUGCUUUUUCAUUUUCUUGACGAGAAAAAACGGAAAUAGUCGUGUUACUAUUCUUUUCCGUUUGUUUAUUAAUUUUCCAAAUUUAGAGUUUUAAACUCCAGCUAAACAAUAACAAACAAGCAUCAAUUCCGUUAUGUUUAUACCUUUUUCCAAUUGUUGUUUCAAAACUUAUUUUUUCAUUAUAUAUAUUUAUUUUUGCUCAAUUGAUUGCUAAAGCAACAAACUUUGUGGAUUGUAUUUACAAGAAAAGGAACAAAAGUGGUUGCUAUGUUGAUAUUGAAAACAAAAUUAGAUACAUACAAAUAAAUAAUUUUGUUGAUGUCUAUGUUAGAGUGCUAUGGUUAGAGAUAGUCAAACUGUUAUUACAACUCCACAAAAAGGAUUAACGAAAAUUAUGAAACCGGAGAUUUAGUACUACGAAUUAAAAUAUUCUUGUGUUCACGGUGGAAGAAAACUCAAAGGAAGAGGUUCUUGACAACGAGCUGUUCAGUAUAUGUUUUGUUUUUAUUAAUUACCAACCUCGUUUCCAGACCUUUUUUAUUACUUUGUUCUACUAACCGAACUUUUAUAUUUUUUUUAGUACUAUAAAGCAAGACUGCAAGUUUUCACUUCCUUAGCGAGUAGAUGAAUCUGGACAAUUUUAAGAAGUCAUAGAAAUUCACGCAUAAUCACGAAUUAAAUGCGAUAACAAAUCAAAGUUGGACGUAAAAUGCGCUGUUUGGAAAUUUGACCUGUCGUUUGUCCCAGGAUUUAUGAAGAUUAAUUCAACAGUUGAAGGGUGGAAAUAAAUCCGACAAAAUAGGCAUCUAUGUCAUGUGUUAAUUUUAUAAACAACCCAAAAAUUUUGCUGAUCCUAAACUGUUCCUCACUUGUUUAUUCUUGACUAUCUAUCUACAAACGAAAGACGGCAGACCAUUUGGAACCAUGCCACAAGUCAGUCCGACCUUCAUCGUCACAGAGAAUACUGCGAGAAGAGUGCGCACCCAUGCAAGUUAAAUAAAACCAGAACAUGGGAGAGGUUAGGUUCUGUGAAAUUAACUUUUUAGACGAAUGUUCCUAUAAACAAUUAUCAUACCGACGAGAGUGCUUGGGAUGGGUCGUUAGCUUAAUUAUUUGUUUUAUAUAAUAUUUUUAACUCUUUUUACUUUCGUCUACCUGACCACAUGAUAUGUUUAAAGUUCAUAUCGCUUUACUUACGUAAAAGCCCAUAUGGCUGUAAUUGAAUAUGUUUUGUUUUUAGUUUCGUGUAUUAGGCCACGAUAUUGUCUAUGCGUAAAAUCAUCUAGCGUAAACACACUCCUUCGUAUAAUUCAAAAAUAAUUUUUAUCUUUUUUAGUACACACCUAUUUUGUAUUUAUCUGUCAGAAAACUUACCUUAUUGUUUUCAUUGAACGCUCGCUUCUAUUAUUUAGGCUUCUUUACGAUUGAAUCCAAGUCCCCAAUCUCUGUAAUUAAAAAAACAAUCUAACACUAUUACUUUUUUUCGGUUACCCUGACAACUUAUCGCUAUCACUUUCGUCUACUUGACCAUAUAAUGACGUAUAUUCAUUAUACGCAUUGUGAUCAAAUGUCUAUAUGAUCACAAUGACACCAGCCAUUUAAACAUUUACGGUUUCAAGCUUUUUUAAUUUUCUGAUACAUGGGAUAAAAAAUAAUAUUAAAUAAUAUACGUUAAUGAUAUAAUACAAAUUUUCAAUUUUCAAUAGAAGUACGUGCUCUUUCUUCGUAUAUGCUAAGAAAGGAGAAGUUUGGAAUGCAAACAUGUUCAAGUGUUUAUUUAUUUAGCUACACAUCUUGUCAUAACCAUUGUCAUAAGAUGACAAUGAGUCAUCAUUUUUUAAUUUUUCGCACUAUAACGUUUUUGUCAUCAACUAAUUUUUUUUGGAACGUAUGUGAAAAUACAGUACCAGUGCUUUAACUCUGCUCCCCUCCAUAACUUUUAAUAUUCUUUUCCAAGUGCGACUAAACUUGAUACAAAAUGGAUGCACUGUGUUAAAGGUGCUUUUUUGUUGUUACAUAUGAUUAUAGAUACAGGAAAAACACCAUAUUUAUUGCGGCAAAUCCCUGUUCUUUCCAAAAUAACUACGCAGUGCCUCCAGAGCGUACCACUCACUGCUGACAUCGGCCGAGCCGGAAGACUCGACCUAGCAGUUCGCGGUAUAGCUCGUUCUAUAUCUAACUAAAUCUAAUCUAUCAUAUACUAUUUACAACAUACCGAAUGAUGCUAACGAGUUCGUUCAAGCGAUUAGCGUCCUGUUGUUAUAUUACUGUGCUAUUUGACAGCUUUCACUCACGUUAUGUACAGUUCCUGAUGAAGUAUCUCAUUGCAACAUUACCCUCUCUGUCACAUAAGUCUGUCCCCAGACUCCAAUAAAAGACAUUUACGUCACGCAAAAUCUGAAGUCUAUGUACAACAUUCUUUUUCUCAUUAACCACAUUACGGGUUCAUAUCCCCAUGUAUCACGGCUUCAUUUUUUUCUCUUUAACGAAAAUGUUUCAAUGUCGUUUAUCAUCAGCUUUUCUGUCAUCACGAUUUUUAAUUCCAGCCUCAUAUCAAAGAAACGUUUCAAUAAUAUUUAUAUCUUGUCAUUGUUAUCACUGAACAUCAAGUAAAUAAUUUCUGAGCACUAUAAGAUAGUUAAUUGCUUCUCCGAUAUCUGCCUCGGGACGGCUAAUUCUCCGAUAUCUGCCUCGGGACGGCUAAUUCUCCGAUAUCUGCCUCGGGACGGCUAAAUCUCCGAUAUCUGCCUCGGGACGGCUAAUUCUCCGAUAUCUGCCUCGGAACGGCGAAAAGUAUUAACUAUUCAAUAUUACCCAAAUAGUGUUUCUUAACGAUCAGUGAAGGUCGACAAAGUCAUAUAUUAUCGUAUCAUUAUUUCUUUUUUUAGCAUUAGCUGCCACCAUCAAAAUUUCGUCUUUCAGCUUCAGCAAUUCAUAACAGGAGAUUCCGGCUGGUUAUCAUUAGUCUAUACAGACCUAAACCAGUUAACGUAUCAGGGCAGUGCCUCCAAUGUUAAAGGUGCUUUUUUGUUGUUACAUAUGAUUAUAGAUACAGGAAAAACACCAUAUUUAUUGCGGCAAAUCCCUGUUCUUUCCAAAAUAACUACGCAGUGCCUCCAGAGCGUACCACUCACUGUUGACAUCGGCCGAGCCGGAAGGCUUGACCUAGCAGUUCGCGGUAUAGCUCGUUCUAUAUCUAACUAAAUCUAAUCUAUCAUACACUAUUUACAACAUACCGAAUGAUGCUAACGAGUUCGUUCAAGCGAUUAGCGUCCUGUUGUUAUAUUACUGUGCUAUUUGACAGCUUUCACUCACGUUUUGUACAGUUCAAACCCCGGCCGAGUCAUGCCAGAGACUAUAAAAGUGUGAAUCUAUUCUUUCUGCUUAGCGCUCAGCAUGAGAAUAGGAUUGAUAUCUUAGGCGGUUGUCUAGUUGAGCGAUUGCUGUGCUUGCACGACUUUCGUAGCUCAAAUGGGAGCUUUAAAUGCGCUAGGACCCCCUUCGCAGGACCCUCGGUGAUAGCAGUACCAAUAGGAACUGAAGAGGCUAUCCUGGGUAAAUAAUAGUAAUAAAAAUAAUAAUAAUAAUAAUAAUAAUAAAGUAUCUCAUUGUAACAACUGGUACCUGCUUAAAAUUUAAUUCCUUUAAUUUUUAAUGAUAGGCAAACUCGUUAUUUAAAAUAUUUUUUCUUUUUUAAUUUUCGAAGAAAAUCCGAAAAAAUCGGGAAGUCGGGUUAAUAAAUACAAAACAAGAUUAUUCCCCUUGACGAAAUAUAGUUGUGUUAAGAGUUUAAUGUUUUUAAGAUAAGAAUUUCUUUUAAAUGUAAGGGGUAUUUUUGAGUAAUAGUCAAUACAUACCACUCUGAGAGGGUUAAAAAGGAUUUUUGGUACUCUGUUUAUACUAAGCAAUAAAUAGGGCGACUUUUUGUUUGAAAUUUAUAUCUAUUCAAGUGUUUAUUUGUUUAAUUGCACACAGCUUAUCAUAAGAUGGCAUGAGUCAGUUCUUGUACUUUCUGUAUCGAUUUCUCUUAUCAAAAUCUAUACUUGACCGAACUUUCGCUAUUUUAUUGAAACUUGCCAUUUCAUUUUCCAAUAUCCUAUAGUUACAGUUUCUAUAACCGUCAUGACAACAACAAUGACAAUAAGUUUGUACUUUUGUUUUAUUUUCAACGUCAACUUAGACCAAACAGACUAAGCAUAAACAAAAUUCAAUACAAAUAAAAGAAGUUGUCUGGAAUGUAAACAUAUAUAAAUGUUGAUUUGCAUUCUUACGUAACAUUUGUCACGAGAUAAUGACAACGCAGUUAUUGUACUUUGUACCUAGUACUCUUCUCACGAACUAAGUUUGAAAUUUGUAUGGGCGAAUAUUUUUCAUAACGUUUUUUUACAAUUCUGCAUAAUGGACAUGCUUUAAUGUUUCAUUGUUCAGUUCAAAAAGGUAUAUGUACUAGUUAUCGCACAGUGCCGAGAAAAGUUUUGGCAAAUUAAUUAUUAUUUUAAUUAAUUAUCAUUAAUUAAUUAUCAUUGCUUUCUAGCACGGAUUCUGACUUAGAGGCGUUCAGUCAUAAUCCAACAGAUGGUAGCUUCGCACCAUUGCUUUUUCAAGCAAGUGCAAAUGCCAAUUGUCUGAAUCUGCGGUUCCUCUCGUACUGAGCAGAAUUACUAUUGCAACAACACUUCAUCAGUAGGGUAAAACUAACCUGCGAUAUCUUGUUUAUCAUGUACUCGGUCUUAUAUGAUGUUAAUUUCACAUAGUCGGUUGCACACUGCUUAAUUAUGUUCGCGAUAUUAACAAGCAUUGUUAUGGGGGCCACUAAAAUCACUGCAAGAUAAUUUAUUUAAUUUGUAUUCAUGAAUUUAUUUGAGUUUAUGAAGUCACGUGCGUUUUAGAUCAUUAUAACAAGUUAUGUUCAUGUCACGCUGAAUGGAAAUAAAAACUAUUAAUUUUUAAAAGAAUAAAUUAUUAUUGUUAAGCCAAAUAACACAGAACUCCAUCGUUGUGCUAUAAUAUUAUUCUUUUAAGUUGACUAUAAUAGUUGAACAUAAUUCAAUUGUUUUUUUUCAUAGCCGGUGGGGAGCGCGUGCUCUAUGAUUAAUGACUAUUUAAUGACUAUUGAAACAAAACAAAAUUUACGAAUCAUAAAAUGAAUAUUUGUGAAAAUAAAUUCACCUAUUCACCGACCGUUUUCGGUUUUAAGAACAUAAUAGGCUUUUCCUACGAAUUUUCAACCAAUCAAGGAAAAAAUAUAAGCUUUUUGCACGCUAAAUCAGCCAAUGAAAGGAAGAAUAUAAGCUUUUUGCACUCUAUAUAAGUAUAAACUGCACUCUUUUCUCGGUUGAAAAACAAAAUACAGCUUAAGUUUUUAAAACUUAAGAACAAACUUGUAAGACUAGAAAGUAUCAAAAAUUAUAUUCAGGCUUAAGUACAGUCACGACUAAAGACAAAAAAAACAAAUAAACGAAGAGAAAAAGAAAGAAAAAUAAAAAUAAUAAAUUGGUAAACUUGCCUUAGGACCUGUCAUUUAUUUCAAAAAUCUGUAUGGCUUUCCUCACUGAAAGGUGAAGUUUUUUUCUAACAAUUGACCAAGCCCGUCUAAUUUUAUUGAUUGUCACGAGUUCUAUGAUUGGUUUCAUAAAGAGCCAUCUCUUUGUUCACAAUGUUAUAAAAACAUUCCCUAGUAACGUAAUACAAAACCUAUUGUGAAUGUGAUAACCAAUCCAAUCCAUUUUCAUAUUUACGGUAUCCGUAUAUUAUUGUAAACAGAGAUCACAUGAUUGCAGCAUUUUUUAGCUCUGCUAUGAUUAAGAUUACCAUGGUACAUUAUCCGUUAUCAUAUCUUUUGUUAACUUACCUUAUCAAUAAAGAAAGGUGGUUAAAAAGUGACUACAUGUUUGCUAGGCAACCAAUGUUUUUGCCGUUUCUUAUUUGGCAUUUCUUAUUUUCUGCCCAAUUUUUUUGCCCCUUUUUCAAUUCAGUAUCUACAUGUGAAACCAUGACAGCAAUAAAAAAACCAUAAAAAACAGAUUAGUAUCAGUCUCUGUGCUAACUAACGUGACCAGUGAGUGUAGUUGAGCAGAGGGAAAUGGAAGCAGAAAAUAUGUUUAAAUGAAAGUAAAAGAAAAAUUAAUUAUUAAUAUUGACGGAUUUAUAGACAGACUUCAUUGUCCUCUUCUUUCAACUUCUUAUAGAGGAAAAAGACGUUUUAAAUCAUUGGAAAUUCAAACUUCUGUUUUGUUUUUAAAAACCUGAAUCGUCAUUCAUAUUUGUAUUCAUAUAACUUAACGCAACAAGACCGAAACAAACGUCACAAUUGUAAACACAACAUAUAUGUUUACAUUCCAUGUAUUUUGAAAUGGUCUUAGCUGUCAAAAUUAGACAAACAUUUAAAAUAUCCGUUUUUUAAGUUGUACAAAGUUAAACACUUUGAAAAGCUUUAUUAGCCAGAAUCACACUGAAAUUAGUAUGGAAAAAUAUGCUGCCUUCAAGUUACCGUCCCUUAGCUUUAAUUGGAAGUCUCAUUAAAAUCAAGUUGUUAUUAGAAACAGUGACGCAUUUAGUUGUCAUUCAAUAUGAACACUCAAACUUCUAAAUACAUCUAUCAGAUUGUUUCAAAAAUACAUUAUAGGGUGUUUAUUUUGUAAAAUUCCUUGCAAUAAUAACCUAAGAAUCUGAAAGUAAAAGUUUCAAAAGCCUCUUCAACUUUUGUCUUGUUUAACCCUGUUCUCUCUUGUUUAAUCCUGUUUUGUCUUGUUUAACACUUUUUUGUCUUGUUUAACCCUGACUGGUGCAUUAAGAUAUAUAGGAGAGAUCUUUUUGUUUGUCUCUUAAUAAUAUAUGUUUUGCAAAUGUUAUGAUUUCGGUGUUUCGAUUUACUUUCAAAACUUGAGUAAACUUCUUCCAGUUACUUUAUUCAAAGAUUUCGAAGAUAUAAACCUUAAAUACCUUUUUGCGUGAACAAAAUCUUAAGAACUUGUCUUAGAACCAAAUAUAAAUGAACUAACCAGACCCGAAGUUAAUGUAAGAAAAAAAGCGUCGUGUGGUUCUUAACAAUACCUAAAAUGUAGACAUGAUUAUUCUGGUCGAAUAAUAAUUUUCUAAUGACGUCAUUGCAAAAGUGCCGACGUAACCUUAACUUUAACUGCAUUUCCUCUUUUCUAAAGACUGUUAAUAAGAUUUGCGAAAAAUCCAACAACUGAUAGCAACUAUAUUUUUUUUUAAUUGGGAUGCAAAACCUAACGGUGUGUUAAUCAAGGCAAAGCUGUUUAGUUAUAAUUUUCUGGUUGUCACAAAAAAACAGUAGUUGUACAAGACACAUUAUCUUAUAUUUGAGAACCAAUUAUGUAGGAACAUUAGGUUUUAAAUCUUGCCAAAAAUAGGGACCGAUUAAAAGGGUACGAAACAGCUCAAGUAAGAUCUCCGUCAUUAAUGUCACUCUCCAUCCUUUCACAUACUUAAUAUAAUUGUUUAAUCACCAGGCCAAGGUUGAGCUACAAGAAAUUAUUUUUUAAGAAAAAAGCAAUCUAGCUUGGGUCGAAGAACUUUAGAGUUUUAAUAGGAAAAUUGACUUAAAGACACCGUAAUGGUUCAAAAACAUAUUCGGAUAGUCAUUAUUUCAUAAGUUCUUUUUUUACAAAACUAUUUAAUUACUAAAAUAUUAGAUAUAAAAGCAAAUUAAAUUGUCUAUAAUAAGUUCAUAACAAACAAAGGUCUGCAUUUUGAAAAUAUAAAAGGUCAAACAAAAACCACAAUCUCAAUCUCAGAAGAAUCAAAUUCACAAUACCUUCCAAUGUAUAACAAUAAUGUUAAAUUUUAAUGACAUCAUUUAGAAAUGCAGUAUCAACAUGGCACAAUAAGUUUUGUUGAACGCUGGU